rnacentral:rRNA from 1 species
AUUGAACGCUGGCGGCAGGCCUAACACAUGCAAGUCGAACGAGUGGCGGACGGGUGAGUAAUGUAUGGGAAACUGCGCGAUGGAGGGGGAUAACUAAUGGAAACGGUAGCUAAUACCGCAUACCAUCGGAUGUGCCGAGAUGGGAUUAGCUAGGAGGUGGGGUAAAGGCUCACCUAGGCGACGAUCCCUAGCUGGUCUGAGAGGAGGACCAGCCACACUGGAACUGAGACACGGUCCAGACUCCUACGGGAGGCAGCAGUGGGGAAUAUUGGACAAUGGGCGCAAGCCUGAUGCAGCCAUGCCGCGUGUAUGAAGAAGGCCUUCGGAUUGUAAAGUACUUUAAGCGAAGAGGCGUUACUCGCAGAAUAAGCACCGGCUAACUCCGUGCCAGCAGCCGCGGUAAUUC